rnacentral:rRNA from 1 species
CGCGUAGACGGUUGUCUAAGUCUGGAGUGAAAGUCCUGCUUUCAAGGUGGGAAUUGCUUUGGAGACUGGAUGACUUGAGUGCGGAAGAGGUAAGUGGAAUUCCCAGUGUAGCGGUGAAAUGCGUAGAGAUUGGGAAGAACACCAGUGGCGAAGGCGACUUACUGGCCGUAACUGACGUUGAUGCGCGAAAGCGUGGGGAGCGAACA